rnacentral:rRNA from 1 species
UACGUAGGGACCUAGCGUUGUCCGGAAUCAUUGGGCGUAAAGCGCGCGUAGGCGGCCCGGUAAGUCCGUUGUAAAAGUCGAAGGCUCAACCUUCGAAAGCCGAUGGAUACUGCCGGGCUAGAGUCCGGAAGAGGCGAGUAGAAUUCCUGGUGUAGCGGUGGAAUGCGCAGAUAUCAGGAGGAAUACCCAUAGCGAAGGCAGCUCGCUGGGACGGUACUGACGCUGAGGAGCGAAAGCGUGGGGAGCGAACAGG